rnacentral:rRNA from 1 species
AACGAACGCUGGCGGCGCGUUUUAAGCAUGCAAGUCGAACGGUAGGAAAGUGCUUGCACUUUCUGAGAGUGGCGAACGGGUGAGUAACGCGUAGGUGAUCUACCUUUUAGUUGGGGAUAGCUCAUGGAAACAUGGGGUAAUACCGAAUAAUCUUUAUCCUCUUGUGGAUAAAGGAAAGGGGCGUUUGCCUCGCUGAAAGAUGAGCCUGCGUAUGAUUAGCUAGUUGGUAGGGUAAUGGCCUACCAAGGCGACGAUCAUUAGCCGGCCUGAGAGGGUGACCGGCCACAUUGGGACUGAGACACGGCCCAGACUCCUACGGGAGGCAGCAGCUAAGAAUCUUCCGCAAUGGACGCAAGUCUGACGGAGCGACGCCGCGUGUGCGAAGAAUGUCGAGAGAUUGUAAAGCACUUUUAUAUGUGAGGAAUAACAGUAUCAGGAAAUGGGUAUUGGAUGACGUUAGCAUAUGAAUAAGCUCCGGCCAAUUACG